rnacentral:rRNA from 1 species
GAAGUUUUCAGAGAUGAGAGUGUGCCUUCGGGAACCGUGAGACAGGUGCUGCAUGGCUGUCGUCAGCUCGUGUUGUGAAAUGUUGGGUUAAGUCCCGCAACGAGCGCAACCCUUAUCCUUUGUUGCCAGCGGUCCGGCCGGGAACUCAAAGGAGACUGCCAGUGAUAAACUGGAGGAAGGUGGGGAUGACGUCAAGUCAUCAUGGCCCUUACGACCAGGGCUACACACGUGCUACAAUGGCGCAUACAAAGAGAAGCGACCUCGCGAGAGCAAGCGGACCUCAUAAAGUGCGUCGUAGUCCGGAUUGGAGUCUGCAACUCGACUCCAUGAAGUCGGAAUCGCUAGUAAUCGUGGAUCAGAAUGCCACGGUGAAUACGUUCCCGGGCCUUGUACACACCGCCCGUCACACCAUGGGAGUGGGUUGCAAAAGAAGUAGGUAGCUUAACCUUCGGGAGGGCGCUUACCACUUUGUGAUUCAUGACUGGGGUGAAGUCGUAACAAGGUAACCGUAGGGGAACCUGC